rnacentral:misc_RNA from 1 species
UUUUCGUAGGUGAACCUGCGGAAGGAUCAUUAUUGAAUAAACCUGAUGUGGUUGUAGCUGGCCCUUUCGGGAGCAUGUGCACACCCGUCGUCUUUAUCUUUCCACCUGUGCACCUUUUGUAGACCUGGAUGUAACACUUUCCGAGGCAACUCGGUCGGGAGGAAUGCUGUCAGCUUUCCUUGAAUGUCCAGGCCUAUGUUUUCAUAUACCCCAAAGAAUGUAACAGAAUGUAUUAUUGGGCCUUGUGCCUAUAAACUAUAUACAACUUUCAGCAACGGAUCUCUUGGCUCUC